rnacentral:rRNA from 1 species
UACAGAGGGUGCGAGCGUUAAUCGGAAUUAUUGGGCGUAAAGCGCACGUAGGCGGCUUUUCAAGUCCCAUGUGAAAUCCCACGGCUUAACCGUGGAAGUGCAUGGGAAACUGGAAAGCUUGAGUACUUAAGAGGAUCGCGGAAUUCCCGGUGUAGAGGUGAAAUUCGUAGAUAUCGGGAGGAACACCAGUGGCGAAGGCGGCGAUCUGGGAAGAUACCGACGCUGAGGUGCGAAAGCGUGGGGAGCAAACAGG